rnacentral:rRNA from 1 species
UACGUAGGGUGCAAGCGUUGCUCGGAAUCAUUGGGCGUAAAGAGCGUGUAGGUGGCUAGAUAAGUCGGGUGUGAAAUCCCUCGGCUCAACCGAGGAAGUGCAUUCGAAACUAUCUAGCUCGAGGAUGGCAGAGGAAGGUGGAAUUCCUAGUGUAGAGGUGAAAUUCGUAGAUAUUAGGAGGAAUACCGGUGGCGAAGGCGGCCUCUGGACCAUUCCUGACACUGAGACGCGAAAGCGUGGGUAGCAAACAGG